ensembl:lncRNA
GGCCUGGGCCUGGGCCUGUACCGCCCCGCCCGCCCGUAAGCACUGCACAAACGCUCCGGAAUCACACCCCGUCUUUCCCUGAAGCUUUUUUGCUGAUCCCGUACGUUCGAUGUUAAAUUUAAUGUGCUAAACCCCUGCCAUGCACGCAGGAAUUCCGUCAGCGCAGUCCCUAAGGCAGAGGCCCCUCCGUCCCCGGCGGUGCUGCCCUCACACACUGCCGCCAUCUGCCCCUCCGUGGUGUUCUGUCCCCGUGGACCACGCUCCACCGCUGCUCCCGCUGAACACCGAGGAGUCCGGCACGCAUCAGUCAGUCUCAAGGCGUCUCUGUGCUCCUGGACAUUUAACAAAUAACAGGUGGUAAACAACUCAGUGCUGCCUUUAUCUGUAGGCCCUCAGAGGUGAUUCAGCGCAGGGAACGCUUCAGUGGCUCCGAAAUGAGGCUGUCAUUGGGCUGGAAGGCAGCAGCUGCUUUCUGCUGUGUGUUGUCACCGUGUGCGCUGCAGUCCUCUGCUUCGGACCAGAAACAAGGGCAGGAGAGGUUUGGAUAAGUCAGAGGAGGUUCAUGGAGAGAUUUCUGCUGCCCAUCCUCCUGUGCAUGGCAGCAUUCUCCAGGCAUCCACCCGGCUGCUGGGGGAGAACCUGGCUUUCAAGUUUCCCACGCUGCCAAACCCCACAGUUUUCCACAGGCUUCUCUCAUGAUAGUGCCUGGCCACAUGUGAUUUGCUUUGAUCUUGGCACAGAGUCCAAAGUGCUGGAAAGUGAUCACCCAAAUUCUGGUAAGUGCUGUGCUUCCCCUUCCCGAGAGGGCUGGGUUCCCAGCAGCGCGAGGGCAGGAUCGAUUGGAAACCGUCCACAGCAAAGAACCCCAGGCAGGAGCAGCUCCCACUGCCUCCUCUGCAGCUCCCACCCGGGUUGCAUCAGCUGCACUCUGCUCCCAGCAGACUCCUUGAGGUUACACCCCAAGAAGGGGUUCCCCAGGCCUGAGGGAGCUUUGCAGGUCCCUGCUGGUCCCCCCGGCGGUCUGGCACAGGCCAGCCCACACCCCCAGAGCCAUUUCCCCUCCGUGCUGUCCCUUGCUAACGCUGUAGGGCAGCAUGGACCCAGCUGGGCCCAGGGUACCCCAACCCAGCGGAAAGUCAGGGGAUUUCCAGGCUGUGGGAAGAAACAGGAACCUAGUGCACGCAGUGUAGCCAAGCUCACCCUGAUAUGGCCAUGGCAGCAACCCUGUAGCACGCAUGCAAGCCAGUACUGCUGGGUCAGGGCCCUGAUAGUCUCAUUUCUGAUCCUGCUCCCCCAGGACCUGCUGCCCCCCAGAGGUCCAGCUGCCUGGGAAAGGCUUCUUCUGGGGAAGGCAGAGCACUUCCCAGAGAUCCUGCUUUCCUGCAAGGGCAGAGCACCAACACGCAGCCCACCAUGAACCCAGCACAGCUUCGUGCGGCCAUGGAGACACCCCCAACACCAUGGGGUGACACCCCCCUGUGGGGACAGGAAAAGCAGAGCCCUCUCACAUCAGGAAUGUGCCCUGUGCACCCCUGCUGCUCAUCAGCUCCAGGGAUCACAGAUGAAUUGGCACAGAGCCCAUUGCUGCCCACAGCAGGGGCUGUGCUGCAGCCUCAAAAACUCCCAGGGGGCUCUCCUACAUGGUGCUGCCAUCCCCUCAUACAACACAAGCACUCACCCCAGCACAGCCUCACAGAGGCAUCUGGGAGCCCUCCUCUUCCUAAUACAGAGGUAGUCAUUAGGACAGAAGCUUUCAAUGCUCCUUUGCACCCGAGGAAGCUUCUAGGGAUGGGGAGGGGACUGCAGGGUCAAUGGGUUCAUGCCUGAAAUGGGAACUGGGGUGGGAAGUGGGAAGGAGGCGAGCGCAGUGUCGUGGCCCCAGCUGCUGGGAUGGCAGUGGUCACAGGAGAAGCUGGAAAGAUCUGUGCUGGUUCUUCCAGCGUUUGGUUUAUUCAUAGUUGUAUCAUACUAAACGAAUAGCUCUAAGCGAUUUUAAGCCAUGGAAAUGCAUGACUAAUGGGGCUACUAUUGUUCUCAGAUAAGAGAGCCCAUGUCCUCAGGGGAACAAGCACAGCACUGCAGGGCAGUGCUAUCUGCAGGACACGCUUUGGUGCUUUUAGCGAGCCCAUGGCAGCGUGGGGUGAGAGUCAGAGCAGGAGGUGGUACUGAAGGUGUGACCUGAGAGAGCCAGAACCUGUCGCAUUAAGCUCUGGAGAAGGGAUAUUUCAGAAAGCACGGCACAAACGCUUUGACUAAUUAACGCGCGCAGAUGAAUGAAGUGUUCAGAGAGCAGUGCUCAUUAACAGCACCAAGAGCCCAAGCGUGACAAACUCUGCAUUUGGGUCUGAGCAGGACAAAGGGAACCGCCUUCAUGCUGGGCAAGGCCAAGGCCCCACCGCGGCUGUGGUGUCCCAGGG